rnacentral:SRP_RNA from 1 species
GUUUGGGUCCUGCGCAACGGGAACCCGUGAAUUCUGUCAGGUCCGGAAGGAAGCAGCAGUAAGCGGUCUUUCUCGUGUGCCGCAGAGCAACCUGAACUGA